AAUCCAUAGGUUAAUGAGGCGAACCGGGGGAACUGAAACAUCUAAGUACCCCGAGGAAAAGAAAUCAACCGAGAUUCCCCCAGUAGCGGCGAGCGAACGGGGAGGAGCCCAGAGCCUGAAUCAGCAUGUGUGUUAGUGGAAGCGUCUGGAAAGGCGCGCGAUACAGGGUGACAGCCCCGUACACAAAAGCGCAUGUGCUGUGAGCUCGAUGAGUAGGGCGGGACACGUGGUAUCCUGUCUGAAUAUGGGGGGACCAUCCUCCAAGGCUAAAUACUCCUGACUGACCGAUAGUGAACCAGUACCGUGAGGGAAAGGCGAAAAGAACCCCGGCGAGGGGAGUGAAAAAGAACCUGAAACCGUGUACGUACAAGCAGUGGGAGCACCCUUUGGGUGUGACUGCGUACCUUUUGUAUAAUGGGUCAGCGACUUAUAUUCUGUAGCAAGGUUAACCGAAUAGGGGAGCCGGAGGGAAACCGAGUCUUAAUUGGGCGUUAAGUUGCAGGGUAUAGACCCGAAACCCGGUGAUCUAGCCAUGGGCAGGUUGAAGGUUGGGUAACACUAACUGGAGGACCGAACCGACUAAUGUUGAAAAAUUAGCGGAUGACCUGUGGCUGGGGGUGAAAGGCCAAUCAAACCGGGAGAUAGCUGGUUCUCCCCGAAAGCUAUUUAGGUAGCGCCUCGUGAAUUCAUCUCCGGGGGUAGAGCACUGUUUCGGCUAGGGGGCCAUCCCGGCUUACCAACCCGAUGCAAACUGCGAAUACCGGAGAAUGUUAUCACGGGAGACACACGGCGGGUGCUAACGUCCGUCGUGAAGAGGGAAACAACCCAGACCGCCAGCUAAGGUCCCAAAGUCAUGGUUAAGUGGGAAACGAUGUGGGAAGGCCCAGACAGCCAGGAUGUUGGCUUAGAAGCAGCCAUCAUUUAAAGAAAGCGUAAUAGCUCACUGGUCGAGUCGGCCUGCGCGGAAGAUGUAACGGGGCUAAACCAUGCACCGAAGCUGCGGCAGCGACACUGUGUGUUGUUGGGUAGGGGAGCGUUCUGUAAGCCUGCGAAGGUGGCCUGUGAGGGUUGCUGGAGGUAUCAGAAGUGCGAAUGCUGACAUAAGUAACGAUAAAGCGGGUGAAAAGCCCGCUCGCCGGAAGACCAAGGGUUCCUGUCCAACGUUAAUCGGGGCAGGGUGAGUCGACCCCUAAGGCGAGGCCGAAAGGCGUAGUCGAUGGGAAACGGGUUAAUAUUCCCGUACUUGGUGUUACUGCGAAGGGGGGACGGAGAAGGCUAUGUUGGCCGGGCGACGGUUGUCCCGGUUUAAGCGUGUAGGUGUGUGUUCCAGGUAAAUCCGGUUCACUUUAACACUGAGGCGUGACGACGAGGCACUACGGUGCUGAAGCAACAAAUGCCCUGCUUCCAGGAAAAGCCUCUAAGCAUCAGGUAACAUCAAAUCGUACCCCAAACCGACACAGGUGGUCAGGUAGAGAAUACCAAGGCGCUUGAGAGAACUCGGGUGAAGGAACUAGGCAAAAUGGUGCCGUAACUUCGGGAGAAGGCACGCUGACACGUAGGUGAAGUGAUUUACUCAUGGAGCUGAAGUCAGUCGAAGAUACCAGCUGGCUGCAACUGUUUAUUAAAAACACAGCACUGUGCAAACACGAAAGUGGACGUAUACGGUGUGACGCCUGCCCGGUGCCGGAAGGUUAAUUGAUGGGGUCAGCGCAAGCGAAGCUCCUGAUCGAAGCCCCGGUAAACGGCGGCCGUAACUAUAACGGUCCUAAGGUAGCGAAAUUCCUUGUCGGGUAAGUUCCGACCUGCACGAAUGGCGUAAUGAUGGCCAGGCUGUCUCCACCCGAGACUCAGUGAAAUUGAACUCGCUGUGAAGAUGCAGUGUACCCGCGGCAAGACGGAAAGACCCCGUGAACCUUUACUAUAGCUUGACACUGAACAUUGAGCCUUGAUGUGUAGGAUAGGUGGGAGGCUUUGAAGUGUGGACGCCAGUCUGCAUGGAGCCGACCUUGAAAUACCACCCUUUAAUGUUUGAUGUUCUAACGUGGACCCGUUACCCGGGUUGCGGACAGUGUCUGGUGGGUAGUUUGACUGGGGCGGUCUCCUCCUAAAGAGUAACGGAGGAGCACGAAGGUUGGCUAAUCCUGGUCGGACAUCAGGAGGUUAGUGCAAUGGCAUAAGCCAGCUUGACUGCGAGCGUGACGGCGCGAGCAGGUGCGAAAGCAGGUCAUAGUGAUCCGGUGGUUCUGAAUGGAAGGGCCAUCGCUCAACGGAUAAAAGGUACUCCGGGGAUAACAGGCUGAUACCGCCCAAGAGUUCAUAUCGACGGCGGUGUUUGGCACCUCGAUGUCGGCUCAUCACAUCCUGGGGCUGAAGUAGGUCCCAAGGGUAUGGCUGUUCGCCAUUUAAAGUGGUACGCGAGCUGGGUUUAGAACGUCGUGAGACAGUUCGGUCCCUAUCUGCCGUGGGCGCUGGAGAACUGAGGGGGGCUGCUCCUAGUACGAGAGGACCGGAGUGGACGCAUCACUGGUGUUCGGGUUGUCAUGCCAAUGGCACUGCCCGGUAGCUAAAUGCGGAAGAGAUAAGUGCUGAAAGCAUCUAAGCACGAAACUUGCCCCGAGAUGAGUUCUCCCUGAGACUUAAAGUCUCCUGAAGGAACGUUGAAGACGACGACGUUGAUAGGCCGGGUGUGUAAGCGCAGCGAUGCGUUGAGCUAACCGGUACUAAUGAACCGUGAGGCUUAACCUUACAACGCCGAAG
rnacentral:rRNA from 1 species